rnacentral:rRNA from 1 species
GAAUGAACGCUGGCGGCGUGCUUAACACAUGCAAGUCGAGCGAGGCCUUGGGGGGCAACUCCCAGAGUCGAGCGGCGGACGGGUGAGUAACACGUGGGUAACCUGCCCGGAAGUGGGGAAUACCUCGGGGAAACUCGAGCUAAUACCGCAUGACAUCUUCGGGACGAAAGUCCUGACGAUCAAAGCGGGGUCGCAAGAUCUCGCGCUACCGGAUGGGGCCCG